rnacentral:rRNA from 1 species
GACGAACGCUGGCGGCGUGCUUAACACAUGCAAGUCGAACGAUGAAACCUAGCUUGCUAGGUCGAUUAGUGGCGAACGGGUGAGUAACACGUGACUAACCUGCCCCUUUCUCUGGGAUAACGCUCCGAAAGGAGUGCUAAUACCGGAUACUCACAUCGAGGCACAUGCCUUGGUGUGGAAAGUUUUUCGGAAAGGGAUGGAGUCGCGGCCUAUCAGCUUGUUGGUGAGGUAACGGCUCACCAAGGCGACGACGGGUAGCCGGCCUGAGAGGGCGACCGGCCACACUGGGACUGAGACACGGCCCGGACUCCUACGGGAUGCAGCAGUGGGGAAUAUUGCACAAUGGGCGCAUGCCUGAUGCAGCGACGCCGCGUGAGGGAUGAAGGUAUUCGGAUUGUAAACCUCUUUCAGUAGGGACGAAGCGAAAGUGACGGUACCUAAAGAAGAAGCACCGGCUAACUACGUGCCAGCCGCCGCCGUAA